UGUUUAAAAUCUAUUUAUAAAUCUUUUAGUUGAUUCAAGAUAAAAUCAAACAAAAAAAUGUCUAGACUAGCAGUAGUAUUUGUAUUGUGCUUAUUGGCAACAACAUUGACAGAAACAGAUUGCUGGUCAAAUAGUUUUCCACAGCAAAGGGGGGAUGUCAAAAUGGAUAAAACGAAAGCAGACUUGAAGCAAAAGGUUAAUGAAAAAAGUAAAGGUUUUCGUAGUUUUUCUAAAACGUUGGUAUGACGAUAAUCGUUGUUAUGCAACAAAUAUAUCCAUUAACAACUUUGACAAAAAAGAUUUUGAAUAUAAAACUAUACAUUUAAUGUGAUUUAGGUUUAAUGCAGAUUUGGUGUGUGAUGUAUCCUGAUUGUUCUAAAAUAAUACAUUUCGUUUCUUUAA